rnacentral:lncRNA from 1 species
UAAGGAAAAAAUCUGCAAAACAUUGAAGACUCAUGACCCACUUUAAAAACAUAACUGGAUACAUCACAUGAACUCAAGACCAUGACUAUGGAGGAAGGUUUAACACUUGGCAACUCUUACAACAACAACAACAGCAACAGGGAAAAACAACAACAACAACAACCGAAGAGUGCAAAAAGAACUAAUGCAGUCUCUAGGUAUGCCUGGAUGGAGCCUCUAAGACCUAACAGGAUGUCUGAGAU